UUACGGUCAAAUCAGAACGAAAACCCCUGUUCUCAUUUGAUCAUCGUAGUUAAACAGUGUUGAGACCGGUCAGUAACUUAGAUGGAGGACCACUUGAGAACGCCGAGUAAUGU